GUCCUGAGGAGAAGAGGAAGAGUGGAGGAUUGUUGCAGCACAAGUUCUCGCUCUUGGUGAAGAAGAGUCUGUGACUGGGAAUAAUGCAAAAUAAUUUUACUUUUGAGAGACUCUAAACUCUUCAAACCAUUGUUAUAACAGAUGAUGCUUGGCAUUGCCAAUCAUUCUAUCUUCCUUUUACUUGUUUUCAUGCACAAGUAUUCAGAAGUCCAGUCAAUGCAGAAUGGAGACCAAUAUCUGAGAUGCAGUCCUUGUUUGGAGAGUGAACCUGGGCAUUUCCUGAGGCUCCACGCUGCGAG
rnacentral:lncRNA from 1 species